rnacentral:lncRNA from 1 species
AAAGCAGUGCAUCUUCUCGUACAAUAGCAGCAAUAAAAUUUGCAUGUCGACAUACGCGGAAACCAUAAACACGAGCUCGUGAACUGCUCACUUUCGUCGGCGCACGUGACAGUCUGGUAACAAGCGACAACUAGAAAUGCAAGCAGAUUGGACAGUGUCCCACCUGUUUGCACCGACUGUCGCCGUUGAAGAUGAUCAACUUUCAUUGCGAAGCAAUCGGGUGAUGGAGACAU